GAGAGAGCGCCAUCUAUCUAAAAGUAAACACGUCGUCAGCUUUGAUCAGCUAGCUAAUCUAUUCAGCGAUUAACUUUUGAUCUGCUCUGUGACUUUCAUUGCUAUGGUUUUGGAAUUGGAAUACCUCGAAAUUGUGCCUAACAAAGCGAAGUGAUUAUUUUUUUUACAUAGUUUACACAUUUUACACACUUGCACUGAACCAAGUGACAUUUAUAAUCAGGUUCAACAGUUUAUUCAGCUGUAACGUUAAGAUGGGUAAUUGCUUAUCAGGUGGAGAGCCUACACACAGAAGGAGUGGUGGUGGUGGGAAUGGAGGUGCGAAACAAACUAAGAUUCGUACACACAUGCUCUUUCCGCCAAAGACAUCUUCUGGUGCCAGUCCAAGAUCAUCACCACAGUCGCCAAGGAAACUCUGAUGAUGUUCUAGCAAAAUUUAAAGAUCUAAGCUUGCUACAUGUAGCUAUAUGCUUCUACAGCUACUGUAGGAUACAUUGGAUAGAAGCAAAUUUACCAAUUACUUCAUCUGAAGAAUGAAAGAGGAAAAUUCAAUGUGGUAAGUCUGUAGCUCAUUGACAACAAGCAGUGGAAAUGUGUCAUCACCAUGGCAACAAGAAUUGAACAACUCAUGCGAAUAGUUGACACUCUUGGUCUUCAAUUCUGAUAUUACUCUGUAUGUUUGUAUUCUUCAGGGAGUCGCUGUGGAGCAACAUAAAAGUCAUGAACAAAAAUACAAGACAUAAUAAUGCAUAGAUUAAAAUACAGUAUAUUGAAAUAUGUACAUACAUAUUUGGAUGUAAAUGUAUCCCAUUAGUCAUUUUGUGUUUUAUUGGAAUUUAAAUGUUAUGCAAAUAACUUAUGAUAAUUAAUCUUAGAAGAGUAGCUUCCAAUUGGUUAAUUCUGUAUUUGUAGUAUAAUGUGCAUAAAAAAUGAUUUGUUUUGUAUAUCAGAGCAAUAAUGAAUGGAAACUAUGUCCUGUAAUUCUCCUUCAAAGCUUUCAAUUAUAAAUAAUGAUAUAUAUCCUCUGCAUAAAUAACAAAGUCUGUUCCAAUAUAGAUGAAUAAUAUACCAAAUCUCCAGGGGUUUUUUAAUGGUGAAGGUUGUUUUCUGAGAGCAGUCAGUGGGAUAGCUACGGGUUAGUGAGCAUGGUUGUAACUUGAAGCUUGCUUAUUUCACAGCUUUGAAUACUCCAAACUCUGAGGCAAGAAUUCACGAAGGUAGUUUUGAAAACCAUCGGUUGAAACCAUGGUUUAUGCAGAUUUCCUGUAUAAAUUAUGCUCAAUUUACCAUGUAUAUUGAAAAUGUCCAAUGGUGGUGCAUGCUUUUGUCAAAUUGUGCCAGUAUUACCAUGGUUAAAUACGCUAUUUUAUUCACGAGUCCAAUGAUUCAAGAGUGGACUAAUGAAUAAAAUAGCGUGGAAAACCACGGCCCAACAGGCGUCACUGUGACGCAAGCGCUCAUCAGCAUUGGACAUUUUUUUAUAUACACGGUAAAUAAGCUUAAUUUAUACAGGAAAUCUGCAUAAACCAUGGGUUCAACAGAUGGUUUUAAAAACCACUUUUGUGAAUCCGGGCCUGAAGGUUGUUUACAUCAGAGAUCAGAGAGUUCAACUUUUUAGCUAAUUUCAGCAAUUUGGGGUUUUGAUUUUCGGCUUUAUUUCAGCUGAUUUUUAGCUUUCCUCCAUAUGAAAGUACAUGUAUGAGAGCUUUUAAUUUCAGGUUUUUCCAACACAUUUAAGCUUUUUCAGUUCUAUUUAUUUGUGAUUACUCACACCCCUGUUGAAUUGAAAAAAGAUAGUUACCCUGAAUAUUUCUUAAUCCAAAAACUAAAUAAGGCUUAUGGCUUAUCAUUCUGAAGAGUUGACAAUCCAAAAAUAAUAAAGCUUUGUAUCUUUAGUUCAUUAGUUUAUUAUUUUGGUACUACAUGUAAUGUGCCUAAUUUUAUUUUGUACUUGAACCCUGCAGAAUGACAAACCUAAUUUUACAUGUAGCUGAGUUGUCACAUUCACUUUGGAUACUGGUUAUGAAGGCCAGUGCGUCUAAUACCACUCAUAAAAGCAGAGAGAUUAUUAAAAAUGGUUUUAAACAUACUGAUACUGGAUAUUUUGUAUUUCAGGGUUAUUUUUAACUCUUCAAAGAAAGAAAGUCACAUUCACUUUGGAUACUGGUUAUGAAGGCCAGUGCGUCUAAUACCACUCAUAAAAGCAGAGAGAUUAUUAAAAAUGGUUUUAAACAUACUGAUACUGGAUAUUUUGUAUUUCAGGGUUAUUUUUAACUCUUCAAAGAAAGAAAUUUAAGAGAAAUGCUAGAAAAAAUAGAUUAAAUUUGACUAUUUUUAAUAAUUGUACACAGUUUUGAAAGUUCCCUUUUACAUACAAGCUAGGAAAGAAAAAUACUAAUUUGUAAUUGAUGUACAGUGUACUAUGUUGAAUUUUAGGCAAUAGGUUGAAAAUUUUGUCAUUUCUCUUUAAUAUAACAUUUACAAAAAAGGAGAUUGAUUCCAUUGCCAUCUCUGUUUGAUUUGUUGAUUUUCCCUCAAUUAUAUUUAUUUGAAAAAAUGAUAUAUACAUUACAUACAUGUAGGCAUAUACAAAUUUUUCUUAUUUUCAAACUUUGGCUCUCUUGUAUUUAGUUCUUUGAAUAUCUAAACAGACAUAAAUUUCAACUUCUUGUCAGUUGAUGGAAAUUAUGAGAGAGGAAGAGUGCUUUAUCGAAAAAGACAAAUUUCCUUUGAAAUGACCAAAAAGUGACCAUCCAUUAUUUAUGUUCCAUUGAAAAGUGUAUAAAAUAUUGGGAAAUUGACGGAGAAUCAUUUGUAACAUAGCAUAUCUUAUUCAUAAGAGUGUGGAAGUUAGUGGAACUGUGUACAGGUUUAUAUUCAUCAUGUAAAUUAUAUAUUAUCAUAAUUUACCUUGUCCAUAACAAACAAUACUUUAUUUCUGAGGUAUUGUAAAAAAUAAUUGAAUGAAAUCCAGUAAUUAGAUUCAUGUAUAUUUUUCAGGUUGUUUUUGGUUACCUUUGGUUUGUAAUUUACCCAACAUUCUUAACAUUCAUGACAUAUUCUUGGACUUAUAUGUAAUGAUUCUGACAAUUUGUAUUCCUUCUACUACAUGUAGUAUGAAAUUCAAUUCAUAUUUGCGUUAACAUUCAUUGUGUGUAAUAAUAUGCAUACAUGUGUGUACAGGAAAUAACUACAUAUGUCAUUGUGCCUCAUCCAAGUAAUUUUCUAAUUAGAGGCCUUGAUGAUGGUUGUUCAGAGCAAUAAGGACAUUCACUCCAUGUUUGAGAGUGGCUAAUACCUUUAAUGCUGUAAAGGGACAUUUUGGAUUAAUAUCCAACCUAUUGUUUUCUACUCAAUUGAUGGUAUGUGCAUGCCUUGAUAUGUGAAGAAUAUUAUCCAAAAGGAGCUAAAUCCACUUUACUAAUAUUUAUCUUAAUUUAUCACCUUCAUUAUACUAUCAUUGGAUGAAUAUCGCUACAAAUUUUGAAAUAUUAUUAAAUCAGACGUACCCUUCAAAUCCAUUAAUAUAUCUUUUCAAAGAAACAGUACAAAACACUUACAAAACCUACUGAAAAUCUAUAGGCUUACAUAUCUCUUUUUUAAGAAGAAACAAAAAAUGGAUUUAAUCCCUUUUAGAAACAAAUGCUGGAGUAUGUGCCCUCACAAAGGUCAUGUCCAGCUCAUCCAUUCUUUUAUUAGGAAUGCAUAGUAUUGGGAUGAAAGGUUAGCCUAAAUAUCUCUUGGCCAAUUACGUUUACAGUCCACAAUGUGGUUUUUUUUUUUUUAGUAACAAAAUGUACUAAAAAAAUGGAAUUUUGUUUAAAUGAACAGUUUAUCUUUAAUCUGAAAUAUAUGAAAGACAAUUCUUAUUUUGUGUAAUCAUAAUGUCAUAUUGAGAUUUGAGAAUGUUUUUCUUCACUCUUUUUGUUGUUAUAUACCUUUCUUAUUUUGAUCUCAAAGUGUCAGUUCUUUUGGUUUUUACAAAUGUUUUAGGGGAAGGGAUUCUUUGUCACAUGCAAAAGAGGCACAAAUUAUUCUGUCUUUACCAUUAAUUAAAAUAUGUUUGGGACUAUUUUGUUUUUUGUUAAAGGUUAGCUUGUAGACUAGUUAUAGUUUUGAAAUCAUAAUUUCAAUUCAGACAUCUCAAAAAAGGUAUUUUCCUUGAUGAGCCAUAUACCAAUAAGGGCUUAUUUAUCAUUCUCCGUCUCAAUACGCUUGCUUACAGCUCUUUUUCCCUUACAUAUCUGUUCUUAGUGUUGGGUGUGUCAUGUUUAUUUAAUGAGUAUUGUUUCAAUUAACUUGAAUCAAAAUAUUGUAGCGGUGACAAAGAAAACUGAAAUC